AAAUUGAAGAGUUUGAUCAUGGCUCAGAUUGAACGCUGGCGGCAGGCCUAACACAUGCAAGUCGAACGGUAACAGGAAGCAGCUUGCUGCUUCGCUGACGAGUGGCGGACGGGUGAGUAAUGUCUGGGAAACUGCCUGAUGGAGGGGGAUAACUACUGGAAACGGUGGCUAAUACCGCAUAACGUCGCAAGACCAAAGAGGGGGACCUUCGGGCCUCUUGCCAUCAGAUGUGCCCAGAUGGGAUUAGCUUGUUGGUGAGGUAACGGCUCACCAAGGCGACGAUCCCUAGCUGGUCUGAGAGGAUGACCAGCCACACUGGAACUGAGACACGGUCCAGACUCCUACGGGAGGCAGCAGUGGGGAAUAUUGCACAAUGGGCGCAAGCCUGAUGCAGCCAUGCCGCGUGUAUGAAGAAGGCCUUCGGGUUGUAAAGUACUUUCAGCGGGGAGGAAGGUGUUGUGGUUAAUAACCGCAGCAAUUGACGUUACCCGCAGAAGAAGCACCGGCUAACUCCGUGCCAGCAGCCGCGGUAAUACGGAGGGUGCAAGCGUUAAUCGGAAUUACUGGGCGUAAAGCGCACGCAGGCGGUCUGUCAAGUCGGAUGUGAAAUCCCCGGGCUCAACCUGGGAACUGCAUUCGAAACUGGCAGGCUUGAGUCUUGUAGAGGGGGGU
rnacentral:rRNA from 1 species